UGUAAGACGCAAAGAGUCGGUAUAAUCAACAAUACAAGGAUGCCGCCUAUAGGCGUAACAUCCAACCUCCAACACCAAUCCGGCGAGGACACCAAAAAACCAAACUACAAAACAAACAUGGCGUAAGCUGUGACUCUGAAAUCUAAUUACAAACACCAAAAUUCAAUCCCAUAGCUAUGCCUCAUCCAUUCCAUAACUGCCCCAUGGGGACACACCGCACCAACAGCCGCUGGCCAGGAAAAAACAGCAGCUGAAAAGCUGCGCGCAUGACAGCAAACAGCCCCAGCAGCAACUGUUCUGUGAGGGAGAAACAACUGCGAGGGAGAAACAACUGCCGGAAGGUAUCAAAGUUACGUUCAAAUUUUAAAUCAUAUUCUUGUUUAUGUCAACUAUUAUAUGCCAGUGGUUACCAACACAGAUUCAGUUUGGUCUCUUAUGUUAAUCAUACUUGAGCUUCAAAAUCACAAUAUGCUGUUACAAAAAGACACCGCGGAAGUGAAAAGGAUAUGUAUAUUAUAUUAUAGCAAUUGAAACUCAUAGAGUUCCACGUUCAAUACAUCAAAUGAAUCAGCUGCUUAGCUAAGUGUGAAAUACCAACUUCUGCAAUUCUUUUCACCAUACUUUAUAAUAAUACUAGUAAAAUUUUAGAUAAUACAAAGGGAACAUAUAUAUAUAGUAUUCUUUUUCGGCUGGGAAAGAAUGUGACCUCGAGCUGAGGUCUUUCAGACUCAAACGUGGUGGUCGUUCUUGAUUCGACAGGAGCACAACAUAUAUAUUUGAAACAUUCAAACAAUAAAAAUAGAAGUAGAUAAGUUAACUACUUUUCACGACUCUAAAGCUAUAAUGCCUUCUCAAGCAUGGAAUGGAUGCUUUUAAACCUUUGCUAGCUCAAAGGGGGCGGGUAUGUCUCCCACUUGCCCUACCACAAAGACGUGCAUUCUUUGGAAUAGGAAACUCGUCUCUGAUUGAGGUUGAUGCUGUGUAAACGCGUAAAUAAAAUUGUUGGCCAAGAUACUGUCGUGCCCAAAACUCGGUCCUCAAGUUCCACAUUCCAACGUUGUCAAGUGCAACAUAAAUAGCCGUCCAUGAAUAGGGAUAUACCUUUAACAAAAUUGAAAAUCAUAUAUUGCAUCAGUUAGAAACAACAAAAAUUGGGGAAUCUCACAUAACAGAAAGAAAGCCGGAAAGGUUAAAUAUAGAAACAAAUUUUUAUUCCAAAGUCUCACACACUGAUUAAACACUGCUUCUAUGUAUAGGACAGCUAGUUAGGUAGUUGUAAAUCAACAAACUGAACGUCUAAGUAACCAACCAACUAGUAACUGGUUGUUUGCAUUCUAAAUUACUAACUCUACCCAAUAACAACUAUAUAAUAUGAUUCUCACCUGAGUGGUGCAACGCGCUACUGCAUCUCGAAGAUUGUACCCGUUUCUGCUAGAAGUUGUCCACUGUCCUCCAUCCAUACUACACAUUGAAAUAAUUUAAGUCAUAAAGUGAUAAAUUUUAGAAAUACCAGAGACACAAUAUCAAUUGAAAUAAUUUAAGUCACAAAGUGUUAAAUUUUAGAAAUUCCAGAGACACAAUAUCAGUAACAUGGUAGUUUAUAUAUUUCUUUUACAAAAGUAAAAAACAUGUUACAGUUACAAAUGCCAAAUAAAUAAGGAUUGUUUAAAGAAAUUGUAAUAUUUAAAAAUAUAAGUAAAUAACUAAUAAGCAUUAAAGUGAAAGGAUAAGUAGAAGUUAAAUAUGUGCAGUGUGCUCACCCAACAACAAAGAAAGAGUAGCCAUCAAGAUGAUAGCUCUGAACAAUGUUCUCGUUGUUUUGGAAGACAAUCUCAACAAAAGAUCUGUAAUCAGCUUGCAUCACAGAUGUGUCAAGGUAAAGGCCACCACCAGUGGGUCUCUCAGAUAUGCUUCCAACGCGAAAAACACCGGAGAUUUUGAAGUAAUCAGCGAGCUUAAGAGGCGUGUCUGGGACAACAUAAGAUACACUGUUUAUUCCAUAUCUUUGCUUGCCAUUAACCUGACCAGGAGAGCUAGCCAGAAUGAUUGUCUUUGUUGUGUUUAUGAGACCGUAAUGGUAGGAUCCUUGUGGGUUAGGCCUUGGUCCACUUGCUGUAAGGUUAGUCCUGAAAUUAUGGAUCAUAGCUUGAGUCACAAUAAUCACUUCGUGCACUUUAAGUGAAUCAUACAAACAACGUAAAUACUAUAUGUUGUAAGGAGUGGUCAUUUAUUUAAAGAGUAGGAAUCGAAUUCGGUAUCUUAGAAUUUACAGUACUCAUACAAACUGUGCAUGAACCACUUCUCAGUGGUUAAGGAGUAGUCGAUUUAAUCCUUAAAGUUAUUAUUUUUACAAUAGUAUUUGACAUUGAAAAUCUUUGAUCAUAACAAUCUUUCUGAAUACAAUUUAGUCUAUGAAAGUUUUAGAGACUAAUGUGAUUGAGAGUUUUAAAAUUCGAAGAUUGUUUUUAAAAUUUCUUUAAUUUCAUGACACAAAAUUGACAUUGAAUUUCAAAGACUUUUAAUUGGAGGACAGGGAAACUAAUAAUAAUUAUAGUGACAAUAAUGACUGUUUCCGAUAAGAUCUGAACUAUGUCCCAUGAGGUUGCAAGGUAAAAACACUCGCCACUGAGCUCAUAGUCGAAUUUUAGAUACUAAAUUAAUGAUUCAAUUAGUUAAUUUUUUUAUUCAAGCAUACUAAAUUCUGUAAAACAACAAUGUAGAUAUUAUUCAAAGCAGCUUAAAAGUGAAAUACCUGAUUGAGCGGGCCUGGUUCAAAGACCAAUCAACUUGGA
rnacentral:lncRNA from 1 species